rnacentral:rRNA from 1 species
UACGAAGGGGGCUAGCGUUGCUCGGAAUCACUGGGCGUAAAGGGUGCGUAGGCGGGUCUUUCAGUCAGGGGGGAAAUCCUGGAGCUCAACUCCAGAACUGCCUUUGAUACUGGAGAGCUUGAGUCCGGGAGAGGUGAGUGGAACUGCGAGUGUAGAGGUGAAAUUCGUAGAUAUUCGCAAGAACACCAGUGGCGAAGGCGGCUCACUGGCCCGGUACUGACGCUGAGGUGCGAAAGCGUGGGGAGCAAACAGG